GAUGAAUGCGUGUAACAGGCCUAACACAUGCAAGUGGAAUGUUUCUGCACCUGCAGAAACAUCGCGAACGGGUGAGUAAUACAUAAGAAUCUACCAUACAGACCGGAAUACUAUACGGCCGUGUUUGAUCUCUUAAAGACUUGUCUUUAAGGGGGCGCUCAUGUUCCGUUAAUACCGGAUAACUAUGCAAGGCGUGCUGCACGAUUGUUCUUUCAAUUUUAAAGCAUGUUUCGAAUGUCACUGCCUUGUUUUGGUAAAGGCAUAGACCGCUGUUUGAUGAGCUUAUGCGAGAUUAGGUAGUUGGAAGGGUAAUGGCCUACCAAGCCUUUGAUCUCUAACUGGUCUGAGAGGACGGUCAGUCACACUGGAAUUGAGAACGGUCCAGACACAUUUUAGUGGCAGCAGUGAGGGAUUUUAGACAAUGAACGCAAGUUUGAUCUAGCCUUGUUA
rnacentral:rRNA from 1 species